UACGGAGGAUCCGAGCGUUAUCCGGAUUUAUUGGGUUUAAAGGGUGCGUAGGCGGCCUGUUAAGUCAGGGGUGAAAGACGGUAGCUCAACUAUCGCAGUGCCCUUGAUACUGACUGGCUUGAAUGGACUAGAGGUGGGCGGAAUGAGACAAGUAGCGGUGAAAUGCAUAGAUAUGUCACAGAACACCGAUUGCGAAGGCAGCUCACUAAGCUAUGAUUGACGCUGAGGCUCGAAAGCGUGGGGAUCAAACAGG
rnacentral:rRNA from 1 species